AACGAACGCUGGCGGCAGGCCUAACACAUGCAAGUCGAGCGCCCCGCAAGGGGAGCGGCGGACGGGUGAGUAACACGUGGGAAUUUUCCUCAAGGUACGGAACAACUCAGGGAAACUUGGGCUAAUACCGUAUGAUGCAGAGAUGCCAAAGAUUUAUCGCCUUGGGAUAAGCCCGCGUCAGAUUAGGUAGUUGGUGAGGUAACGGCUCACCAAGCCUGUGAUCUGUAGCGGUCUGAGAGGACGAUCAGCCACCAUUGGGACUGAGACACGGCCCAAACUCCUACGGGAGGGCAGCAGUGGGGAAUCUUGCGCAAUGGGCGGAAAGCCUGACGCAGCCAUGCCGCGUGAAUGAUGAAGGUCUUAGGAUUGUAAAGUUCUUUCGCUCGUGACGAUGAUGACGGUAACGAGAGAAGAA
rnacentral:rRNA from 1 species